rnacentral:rRNA from 1 species
CGCCGCGGUUAUACGAGCAGCCCAAGUUGACAGUCCACGGCGUAAAGGGUGGUUAGGGUGACAUCAAACUGAAGUAGAAAUACCACAGGACGGUAAUAUGACACCCGUGACGCGUAACACCAACAACGAAAGUGACUUCAACAGACCUGACCCCACGAAAGCUGAGGAA